rnacentral:lncRNA from 15 species
CACCUUCACUCCCAACACUGAGAAGAAAUAGAAGAAGAGGGCAGCAUCCAUCAGACUUCUUUCUCCAACAAAGGAGAUGGCGGGCCUCUGCUGGAUGGCUGUGACACUCGCCUUCAUCCUGUUUACUGAAAACAGUUUUGCUGCCGUGGACCAGAACAGGCUUGCAAGUAUUGUAAAUGGCAUCUCGAAAGCGUACAGAACACAAGGCAUGUUCAGUCUGGCUGUAAGAAUUCCAGACGACCAGAAUCGGAAAAUCUACGAUAUCCUGCAGCAAGUCUUUCAAAGUGAUCCUGUUAAAGACGUGGCAAAACAGCUUGACGAGAACAAGGUGUACGUCGGCAGCAGGGUGGUUGCAGCCAGACCUCUGCCUCGGGACACAGGAGGAGCUGAUCAUGCAGAUUCACGUGUUGCUGACCACUUGGACGACUUGUUCAACCGUCGCGAUGAGAAUGACUUGUUGCUUUUCUAUGUUUAUGCCUCCCCAUGUGUUGAAAAAUGUACACGUAACUCACAUAAUGAGAGUAUCCUCGGAAGGAUAAAUCAAAUUCAGCAAUGGAAGAGUCACGCUUUUGUGUUUUCUAAAAUCUUCAAGCCCCGCAAUCGUCCGGGCAAUACAGUGGAAGAGCUUAGUGGAGCCCUUUGGCGACUCGGGACUGUAGUUGGUCUUGACAACAUAUUCCGUUGUGACAAACAAAAUGGUUGGAUGCAUUGCAUCAGCUGCUCUAGUAAUAAUAGAGUUACACAGGCUUGUGUUUCAGAUACAAAUACACAACCUCAGCAAGGUCAGGUUGGCAGUGGAAUAGGAGGUGGCAGGGGCAGAGGUAGGGGUCGCAGAAUCAAUAGAGACACCAAUCAAAAUAAUGGCAAUGAUGUGAAUACAGAUGAAGAUGACUCUUCCUCACAAGGUGGUCUUGAUAAUGUUAAUGGAACCGAUGUAAAUACAGAUGAAGAUGAUUCUUCCUCACAAGGUGGUCUUGAUAAUGGUAAUGGAAAUUAUGAUUCCAAUAUUGGUGAAAGUGUCUCCCCAUCACUAGAGGGUCCUGAUUAUGGUGGACAAAAAGGCAGGGAAGGAAAAGGUAGAGGAAUGAGCAGACGCAGAGGACGAAAAGGCGGAGUAGGGAGGAGACGCAAAGGACGAAAAGGAAGAGUAGGGGGGAGACGCAAAGGACGAAAAGGCAGAGUAGGGAGGAGGGGCAAAGGACGAAAAGGUAGAGGAAUGAGCAGACGCAAAGGACGAAAAGGCAGAGUAGGGAGGAGACGCAAAGGACGAAAAGGAAGAGAAGGGGGGAGACGCAAAGGACGAAAAGGCAGAGUAGGGAGGAGGGGCAAAGGACGAAAAGGUAGAGGAAUGAGCAGACGCAAAGGACGAAAAGGCAGAGUAGGGAGGAGACGCAAAGGACGAAAAGGAAGAGUAGGGGGGAGACGCAAAGGACGAAAAGGCAGAGUAGGGAGGAGGGGCAAAGGACGAAAAGGUAGAGGAAUGAGCAGACGCAAAGGACGAAAAGGCAGAGUAGGGAGGAGACGCAAAGGACAAAAAAACAGAGUAGGGAGGAGACGAAAAGGAAGAAAAGGAAGAGUAGGGAGCAGACGCAAAGGACGAAAAGGCAGAGUAGGGAGGACACCCAAAGGACGAAAAGGAAGAGUAGGGAAGAGACGCAAAGGACGACAAGGUAGAGGAAUGAGCAGGGGAUGGGGUAAAAGAGGUGGCAGUCGUAGAAGAGGUGGAAUUCGUAGAGGAGGUGGCAGACGUAGAGGAGGCAGCAAACAUGGAAGUGGUGGAAUUCGUAGGGGAGGUGGCAGACGUAGAGGAGGUGGGAGACGUAGAAGGGGCCGCAGAGGAUAGUUAAGUUUGGGUAAAGCUAUGAUUCAGGUGAAACAGGUUAGUUAGAAUCUGAAAAAGAAGCCCCACAGAUCCACCCUGACUGAGACAUACUCCUUUUGCUUGGACAAAGUGUGUACAGCCAUGCUAGCAGCUUAAUGCUAUAACCACCAUUUCACCAUGCUAGCUGUAAUUAGUGAUUAGUAAUUAGUUUUUCAGGUAUUUGGUCCUAAAAUAUUGGAUAAACAUCAACCUCUGGGCACCAAGAAUGUCAAACAUUUACUGCUGAUAUAUUCAAUAGUUUUUGAGACAUUUCAUUCUAAACUGAAUGGUGCAUUAAACAAGCGAUCAACAGAUUGAUAGCAUGGCUAAAAAUGCUAAACUAAUAAUAUAGCUAAUAACAAACUAAAAAAUAUAACAAGCAUAUUUCUCAAGCACUUCUUCAUGUUGAUACAAUGACUUUCAACUAAAGCCAAAUUGUAAAAAAAAAUCAGUAAUAGUAUUGACAAUGUUAGCAAAUCAAUACAAACAAGAAAAACAAAUUUUAUUUUUAAAACCUUUUUCCAUUUCAUUUGAAACUCUGAAUUUUUAAGUGCAUUAUAUAGUGUUUUUAUAAUUGAUGAUCAUGUAGUGGACCUCUAUCCAUUCCCAAAGCCGGUUUUUCAUGUUAAUCUGCAUUUGUUGUGUUUAUGAUUCAUUUAUAGUCAGAUUUUUGAAUUUCAACCUGAAAAAUAAGAAAUAAAUGUGUUUCUUGUCCUCAGUAUUUACAGUACUCAUGUCAUUGUACUCCAUGUUUCUGUAAAGCAUUACACAAAUCUCUAGAUUUUCUGUUGUUUUGUUCUGAUUAAAGCUUGGCUCAGCAUCAUUCUGGCCUGUCUGGCUGUCUGUCAUUUGAUAAAAAUUAGAGUACUACUGUAUUGUCUUUUACCUAGAUUGGAUUCUGUCGGCUAAACAGAACAACCCAGUUUUUAUUUC